CCUACGGGAGGCAGCAGUGGGGAAUAUUGCACAAUGGGGGAAACCCUGAUGCAGCGACGCCGCGGGAGUGAAGAAGUAAUGCGGUACGUAAAGCUCUAGCAGCAGGGAAGAAACACUGACCGGACGGUCAGCAGACGGUACCUGAGGAAGAAGCCCCGGCUAACUACGUGCCAGCAGCCGCGGUAAUACGUAGGGGGCAAGCGUUCUCCGGAUUUACUGGGUGUACAGGGAGCGUAGCCGGUGCGCCCAGUCUGGAGUGAAAGGCCGCCGCUUAACGGCGGAACUGCUUGUGAAACUGUCGACCUAGAGUGCGGGAGUGGUCAGCGGAAUUCCUUGUGUAUCUG
rnacentral:rRNA from 1 species